rnacentral:lncRNA from 1 species
GCUGAUUGGGUGCCUGAGGGCCAUGGGAUCCACUCAGGUAUGCUGGAACCAGCCAGUGCCAGGACUAUCCCGACUUCCAUCUCCAGGGUCUGCAAUAUUUAUUCUAGAGAAGACAUCCUUCCCUUGGAGCCUUCAGAUGAAUUGCAGAGGGGCCAUGAAUCCUUGAAAUAGUACGGAAAUUUUUCAUGUGUAUGCUCACUUGCAUUCUGUUUGGAG